rnacentral:rRNA from 1 species
UACGUAGGGUGCAAGCGUUAAUCGGAAUUACUGGGCGUAAAGCGUGCGCAGGCGGUUUUGUAAGUCAGAUGUGAAAUCCCCGGGCUUAACCUGGGAACUGCGUUUGAAACUACAAGGCUAGAGUGUGGCAGAGGGGGGUGGAAUUCCACGUGUAGCAGUGAAAUGCGUAGAGAUGUGGAGGAACACCGAUGGCGAAGGCAGCCCCCUGGGUUAACACUGACGCUCAGGCACGAAAGCGUUGGGAGCAAACAGG